rnacentral:rRNA from 1 species
UACGAGGGGUGCUAGCGUUAUUCGGAAUUACUGGGCGUAAAGGGUGUGUAGACGGCUUAUUAAGUCUGCUGUCAAAUACCCCGGCUUAACCGGGGAAAGGCAGUAGAUACUGGUAGGCUAGAGGAUGGAAGAGAGAAGUGGAAUUCUCGGAGUAGCGGUAAAAUGCGUAGAUCUCGAGAGGAACACCGAUGGCGAAGGCAGCUUCUUGGUCCAUUCCUGACGUUGAGACACGAAAGCGUGGGGAGCAAACAGGAUUAGAUACCCGCGUA